UAUGUUAUAUAUGAAUUUCUAAAUUAAGAUCAAAGGGAUUUAUGUUAAAUUAUUAUACACUUAUAAUUAAUGUAAUUUAAAUUUUCCAACCCGGGACGUAGAGCAACUAGAAGACCUAGAAGUGCUCCACCUGAUUUGCUACUGUUGAGUGAGUAGGUGCUUGAUGUCAAGCGGAUGAAUGGCCUUACAACUGAUCCACAAAUGCUUGAUGUCGCUUCAGAUAACGUCAGAAGGGAGGCAUCCACCAUCUCCCAUAAUGUCAGUGAAACAAGUUAUUUCUUCUCUUUAUUUAGUUGAUUAUUUUGAAUGGGUUAUUGUGCUUAAGGCUCUUAUAUGUACUUCAUGUUGUUUUGUUAUCAAAUUUGGUUCAAUAACCAACAAUCCAUAGCCUAUCUGUCUAUUUAAAUUAGAUCGGACAUGCUUCGAUGAA